UCUGUUUCCUUUUUUACUUUGACAUUCGCCUGCGUUCUCACUAAAUUGCGUAAAAUUUUCGGAACUUUUAGUUGCGUUGCCCCGAAUAAAGACUAAAGAGCAUUCAAAAAGCGCCUUGCUGCUGUUCCUGCUGCAACGUACCACCAAAUUGGUUUGUAAUUCAACAUUGCGAUUUCUUUACACUGUUCUGUUCCUGGUGGAACAUAGCACCAUAGUGCCUGGGGAUUCAACAUCCCAACAGCAAGUUGGAAGUCGGUUCCUGCUUCAUUGUGCCACCUUAUUGCUAGGUGAAUCAACAACCAAGUUUGUUGCUCUUGCUGCAUUGUGCCACCGUAUUGGUGUAUGAUUUAACAUUCCGAUUUCUCUACAUUGUGCUGAUCCCGCUGCGUUGUGUCACCUUAUUGUUA
rnacentral:lncRNA from 1 species